UCACACCCCUCACACGCCCAGAAGAGAGGGAGGAAGCGUCAAAGAAUGAAUGGGGAAAGAUCGGAGGCGGCUCACACCUACCGGUCACACAAUGCGGCCCCUGUGUCUGCUGACUGGAAACUGUCCGGAUAUCCCGGACAUUAUAGUAACAGGCGUCGUAUAGCGGACAGGCCGGCCUUACACGUACUACACUGAUACCUUGUCUUCUCAUCUCCUUGCUCGGCAAUUGUGGUUUCUUAAUUCAUAACUUUGAAUGAUUUGCUCUUGGAGUCUACGCAAGAGGAAAUUGCUGGGGUCCAACAACCCCAACUCUAAACCUGCUCCGCCACGGGAAGUUAUUCAAGAUCUGUGCUACGAUAUUCUAUGAUCUGCUUAGAACAAAGGAGUAACUUGAAGAUCCUAAACCCUAAUGCAAAAUCUGUAACAUGCCCCUGGAGUCUUCUUAUAUUGCAGAGAGGAAUUUGGCCCCCUUUGGGCACUAGGACUGGGUGUGACUGCUACCUCUGGGCCUGUUAUAGAGAGAAAUAACAUGCAUGGUGCAUGAAAAUUACUUUUUUUUUUCUUACUAGAGUACCCAGCGUUGCAUGUUUUUGCUACCUAAACCUUGUGGGAGAGAAAAAGCAAUGCAGCCCUUUAAUUUGCCUUAGAUUUCACUUGACCUAUAGCGUUACGUUUUCAUAACCUAAAAUAAUCAAUGAUUAACCAAUCAAUAAUUAAAUCAAUGCCAGUGCAGAAAAUAGAGAAGAUCAGUAACUACUGCUACUU